GAUGAACGCUGGCGGCAGGCUUAACACAUGCAAGUCGAGCGCCCCGCAAGGGGAGCGGCAGACGGGUGAGUAACGCGUGGGAACGUACCCUUUGCUACGGGAUAGCUCCGGGAAACUGGAAUUAAUACCGUAUGUGCCCUACGGGGGAAAGAUUUAUCGGCAAAGGAUCGGCCCGCGUUGGAUUAGCUAGUUGGUGGGGUAAUGGCCUACCAAGGCGACGAUCCAUAGCUGGUCUGAGAGGAUGAUCAGCCACAUUGGGACUGAGACACGGCCCAAACUCCUACGGGAGGCAGCAGUGGGGAAUAUUGGACAAUGGGCGCAAGCCUGAUCCAGCCAUGCCGCGUGAGUGAUGAAGGCCUUAGGGUUGUAAAGCUCUUUCACCGGAGAAGAUAAUGACGGUAUCCGGAGAAGAAGCCCCGGCUAACUUCGUGCCAGCCGCCGCCGUAAUAC
rnacentral:rRNA from 1 species